AUUGAACGCUGGAGGCAGGCCUAACACAUGCAAGUAGAGCGGAGCGGCGGACGGGGGAGUAAUGCCUAGGAAUCUGCCUGGUAGUGGGGGAUAACGUCCGGAAACGGGCGCGAAUACCGCAUACUAUCAGACGAGCCUAGGGCGGAUGAGCUAGUUGGUGGGGUAAAGGCCUACCAAGGCGACGAUCCGUAACUGGUCGGAGAGGAUGAUCAGUCACCCUGGAACUGAGACCCGGUCCAGACUCCUACGGGAGGCAGCAGUGGGGACUAUUGGACAAUGGGCGAACACCUGAUCCAGCCAUUCCGCGUGUGUGAAGAAGGUCUUCGGAUUGUAAAGCACUUUAAGUUGGGAGGCGUUACCAACAGAAUAAGCACCGGCUAACUUCGUGCCAGCAGCCGCGGUAAUAC
rnacentral:rRNA from 1 species